rnacentral:rRNA from 1 species
AUUGAACGCUGGCGGCAGGCCUAACACAUGCAAGUCGAGCGGAUGAAGGGAGCUUGCUCCUGGAUUCAGCGGCGGACGGGUGAGUAAUGCCUAGGAAUCUGCCUGGUAGUGGGGGAUAACGUCCGGAAACGGGCGCUAAUACCGCAUACGUCCUGAGGGAGCAAGUGGGGGAUCUUCGGACCUCACGCUAUCAGAUGAGCCUAGGUCGGAUUAGCUAGUUGGUGGGGUAAAGGCCUACCAAGGCGACGAUCCGUAACUGGUCUGAGAGGAUGAUCAGUCACACGGGAACUGAGACACGGUCCAGACUCCUACGGGAGGCAGCAGUGGGGAAUAUUGGACAAUGGGCGAAAGCCUGAUCCAGCCAUGCCGCGUGUGUGAAGAAGGUCUUCGGAUUGUAAAGCACUUUAAGUUGGGAGGAAGGGCAGUAAGUUAAUACCUUGCUGUUUUGACGUUACCAACAGAAUAAGCACCGGCUAACUUCGUG